rnacentral:rRNA from 1 species
AUGGGGCUCACGUUCACCAAGCUGUUCAGCCGCCUCUUCGCCAAGAAGGAGAUGAGGAUUCUCAUGGUUGGUCUCGAUGCCGCUGGUAAGACCACCAUCCUCUACAAGCUCAAGCUCGGCGAGAUCGUCACCACCAUCCCAACCAUCGGAUUUAACGUCGAAACUGUUGAGUACAAGAACAUCAGCUUCACUGUUUGGGAUGUGGGGGGCCAAGACAAGAUCAGGCCCCUGUGGAGGCACUACUUCCAGAACACGCAAGGGCUCAUUUUUGUUGUUGACAGCAAUGAUAGGGAGCGUGUUGUUGAGGCUAGAGACGAGCUCCACAGGAUGCUGAAUGAGGAUGAGCUGCGUGAUGCUGUGUUGCUUGUAUUUGCAAACAAACAAGAUCUUCCUAAUGCCAUGAAUGCUGCUGAAAUCACCGACAAGCUUGGUCUGCACUCCCUGCGCCAGCGGCACUGGUACAUUCAGAGCACUUGUGCGACGUCUGGCGAAGGGUUGUACGAGGGACUUGACUGGCUCUCCAACAACAUUGCCAACAAGCAGCUGUGA